GUCCAUAGUCGAAGAAUCGUCACAGUUCGAAGCUUGCUAAAGGAGACUCUUGAGUUUCAAUUGUCUCUAGGAAAUGCUUUGGGGUAAAGUCUCCGACCAAUUCAUAUGCGGAAACGUAAUGAGAUUUAAAAAUUUUUAAUUCUUAUAUCAACUCAUUAAUGUUUAUGGGCACAUCUAUGAACAUUUUGUCCUUCAAUUUCUUUUAUGUUUUGGAGUGUAUCUUUCGGUAUUGAUGUUUUUUGAACGUCAAACGAUAGUUAUGACGAUUGCAAGAUUUGUUUAAUCACAUUUUUUGUAACCCAAUGGAGCUUACUAUCUUGACUCAUGGA
rnacentral:RNase_MRP_RNA from 2 species